GCUGCCCUGGACCUCAACACUAUGGUACUUCCCUGGGAAGUCUGUGUGGAUUUCUCCACACAGGUCGGCCUCCCUUAGAGUUACUCUGACCUCAGACAUCCCGCUAAGCCUUCGUCCAUUUUGUAAUGAUGUGUCUAUUGGUAUUAUCUGAGUUUGGUUCUCAGCGCACACAUCAGGCACUUCAUGAAAGCCUGUAACUCCAGAGGAUCCAAUGCCUUUACCCGCCCCCACCACAUGUAAAUAAAUGGUAAAUCUUUUUAAA